rnacentral:rRNA from 1 species
AUUGAACGCUGGCGGCAGGCCUAACACAUGCAAGUCGAGCGAGCGGCGGGCGGGUGAGAGAUGUAUGGGGGACUUCCCGAAAGAGGGGGAUAAAUAAGGGGAAAGGGGGUUAAUACAGCACACUAGCGGAUGAACGCAUAUGGGGUUAGCUAGUAGGUGGGGUAAAGGCUCACCUAGACGACGAUCUCUAGCUGGUCUGAGAGGAUGAUCAGCCACACUGGGACUGAGACACGGCCCAGACUCCUACGGGAGGCAGCAGUGGGGAAUAUUGCACAAUGGGCGCAAGCCUGAUGCAGCCAUGCCGCGUGUAUGAAGAAGGCCUUAGGGUUGUAAAGUACUUUCAGCGGGGAGGCGUUACCCGCAGAAGAAGCACCGGCUAACUCCGUGCCAGCAGCCGCGGUAAUUC